UACGUAGGGGCCCAGCGUCGUCCGGAUUCAUUGGGCGUAAAGAGCGCGUAGGCGGUCCGGUAAGUCCGCUCUGAAAGUCCGGGGCUCAACCCCGGGAGGCGGGCGGAUACUGUCGGGCUAGAGUCCGGAAGAGGCGAGUGGAAUUCCUGGUGUAGCGGUGAAAUGCGCAGAUAUCAGGAGGAACACCAAUGGCGAAGGCAGCUCGCUGGGACGGUACUGACGCUGAGGCGCGAAAGCGUGGGGAGCAAACAGG
rnacentral:rRNA from 1 species